GGCGAAGUCCAGUCUGAAGGUGCUUCGCGUGCUGCUCUCCUUGUGACUGGCCUUACUGAAGUCUCGCCCCGCGGGGUGGACGGCUGGCAGUCCCUC
rnacentral:SRP_RNA from 13 species